GACGAACGCUGGCGGCGUGCCUAAUACAUGCAAGUCGAGCGGAUUAGAUUGAAAGCUUGCUUUCAAUCUGGUUAGCGGCGGACGGGUGAGUAACACGUAGGUAACCUGCCCGACAGACCGGGAUAACAGUCGGAAACGAUUGCUAAUACCGGAUACGCGAUUCUGUUGCAUGACGGAAUCGGGAAAGGCGGAGUAAUCUGCCACUGACGGAUGGACCUGCGGCGCAUUAGCUAGUUGGUGAGGUAACGGCUCACCAAGGCGACGAUGCGUAGCCGACCUGAGAGGGUGAUCGGCCACACGGGGACUGAGACACGGCCCAGACUCCUACGGGAGGCAGCAGCUAAGAAUAUUCCGCAAUGGGAGAAAUCCUGACGGAGCGACGCCGCGUGAAUGAAGAAGGCAGAAAUGUUGUAAAAUUCUUUUAUACGGGAAGAAUAAGGUGAGUAGUGGAAAGACUCAUCGAUGACGGUACCGUAUGAAUAAGCCCGGCUAACUACGUGCCAGCCGCCGCAGUAAGAC
rnacentral:rRNA from 1 species